UCCGGUUGAUCCUGCCGGAGGUUACUGCUAUCGAGGUUCGACUAAGCCAUGCGAGUCGAAUGUAGCAAUACAUGGCGUACUGCUCAGUAACACGUGGAUAACCUACCCUUAGGACGGGGAUAAACCCGGGAAACUGGGUAUAAUACCCGAUAGAUCUCGACUGCUGGAGUGCAUCGAGAUCUAAAGCUCCGGCGCCUAAGGAUGGAUCUGCGGCCUAUCAGGUAGUAGUGGGUGUAGCGUACCUACUAGCCUACGACGGGUACGGGUUGUGAGAGCAAGAGCCCGGAGAUGGAUUCUGAGACACGAAUCCAGGCCCUACGGGGUGCAGCAGGCGCGAAAACUUUACAAUGCCGGCAACGGCGAUAAGGGGACCUCGAGUGCCAGGUUACAAAUCUGGCUGUCGUGAUGCCUAAAAAGCAUUGCAUAGCAAGGGCCGGGCAAGACCGGUGCCAGCCGCCGCGGUAACACCGGCGGCUCGAGUGGUAACCGUUAUUAUUGGGUCUAAAGGGUCUGUAGCCGGCCGGAUAAGUCUCUUGGGAAAUCUGGCAGCUUAACUGUCAGGCUUUCAGGAGAUACUGUCUGGCUCGAGGCCGGGAGAGGUGAGAGGUACUUCAGGGGUAGGGGUGAAAUCUUGUAAUCCUUGAAGGACCACCAGUGGCGAAGGCGUCUCACCAGAACGGACCUGACGGCAAGGGACGAAAGCUAGGGGCACGAACCGGAUUAGAUACCCGGGUAGUCCUAGCCGUAAACGAUACUCGCUAGGUGUCGGCCACGGUGCGACCGUUGUCGGUGCCGUAGGGAAGCCGUGAAGCGAGCCACCUGGGAAGUACGGCCGCAAGGCUGAAACUUAAAGGAAUUGGCGGGGGAGCACACAACGGGUGGAGCUUGCGGUUUAAUUGGAGUCAACGCCGGAAA
rnacentral:rRNA from 1 species